GUUAGGAAUAUUGGACAAUGGGCGCAAGCCUGAUCCAGCAAUGCCGCGUGCAGGAAGAAGGCCUUCGGGUUGUAGACUGCUUUUGUACGGAACGAAACGGCUCUGAUUAAUACCCGGGGCUAAUGACGGUACCGUAAGAAUAAGCACCGGCUAACUACGUGCCCGCAGCCGCGGUAAUACGUAGGGUGCAAGCGUUAAUCGGAAUUACUGGGCGUAAAGCGUGCGCAGGCGGUUUUGUAAGACAGGCGUGAAAUCCCCGGGCUAAACCUGGGAAUGGCGCUUGUGACUGCAAAGCUGGAGUGCGGCAGAGGGGGAUGGAAUUCCGCGUGUAGCAGUGAAAUGCGUAGAUAUGCGGAGGAACACCGAUGGCGAAGGCAAUCCCCUGGGCCUGCACUGACGCUCAUGCACGAAAGCGUGGGGAGCAAACAGGAUUAGAUACCCUAGUAGUCC
rnacentral:rRNA from 1 species